ACUUAAGUGUUUAACAUGUCACAUGAAACAAAAUUGCCAUUCAUCUCAAACAAUCAACAUAUUUACAUGCAAAUGCCAUCAAAAGGACUUUUCCAAAGCUUGUAAUGAGGUUGGGCUAACAAGAAAGAAUUGGUUUUUCUAGAAUGCAAAAUCCUUGUGUCAAGAGAGCUAUCAAAAUAUUCAACAAUUAAGCACAACUCUCUUACCAAUGUCUCUCAUUCCCAACUUCUUCCCCUUUUCUUUUCUUUUUCAUUGAGCUCAUCUUCAUGUUUUUCUUCUUUUCUUUUCUUUUUCUUUUUCUCAUGAAUUUUUUUCUUUUCACAACAUUUGAGCUCAAUGCUUUUCACUUGNUUUUUCAAUUUUCCCCCGUACAACCCCAAACUUGAACCUUUUCAUCACAUACAAUUAAGCUCAUCCCAACUCAAGGUAAAGAAUUUCAAAACAAGGGUUCACAUCC
rnacentral:lncRNA from 1 species